rnacentral:tRNA from 1 species
GUAGCUCAGGGGUUAGAGCAUCGUUUCAGACGAAGGUCGGUGGUUCGAAUCCACCCU